UGUGGUUUGCGUCCUGGUCCACGUUUAUCUUCUAUUACGAGCUGUAGAAACUAGUAAUGAGUUCCGUUUGCGUCCUGGUCCACGUUUACCUUCUAUUAUGAGUUGUAGAAACAUCCUAUUGUAUAACUAUGAUUUUGUAGUUUCCGCUUUUCUACCGGUAAAUGCUGUUUGUGUUUCAAGCCCUCAUGUGUGUAUAUUUAGUUAUGAGUUGCGUGUGCCUCCUGGUCCACGUUUAUUACGAGUUGUAGAAAGGCGUACGUAAUGCAUCCCAUUAGUAUAGAAUAAUGAUCUUGUAGUUUCUGCUUUUUCAUCAUUUCAAUGUUUUACUGCUGCGAUUUUACCUUAAAGACCUGAAAUCUACAUAAUAGCCGGUAAAUCAUUUUUUUCAAAACCUUCAUGUGUAUAUUCUUAAGGUAUGAGUGUCGUUUGCGUCCUGGUCCACGUUUAUCUUCUAUUACGAGCUGUAGAAACUCGUAAUGAGUUGCGUUUGCGUCCUGGUCCACGUUUACCUUCUAUUACGAGCUGUAGAAACUCGUACGUAAUGCAUCCUUAAAAUCUUUGUAAAAUUUCCCCAGAAUCUGGGAGAAAAUUGAUUUUCUAUCUUACGCUAAUACACAGGCUCUUAUGGGAGGCGCUGUUGCCAGAUGUUGUGAAAGGCCCAGUUUUUCAGUAGAUCUGGGGAAAUUUUAUUUUUGUGUGCUCGUUCCCGUAUAGCCCUUAUACUGUGAUUAUGUAGUUUCUGUAUGUUUACCAGUUUAAUGUUUUGUAAUAUUUUAUAUUUUACUGUUACAAUUUUACCUCAGUUUUAGUUUUUUAUCAUUUCAAUGUCAUCUUUUAUGAUUUACUGUUGCAAUUUUCCUCAGACCUGCAAGAGACAGCGUAGCGUGGUAUUCGUGUGUACAUUCUUAAGUUAUGACUUUCGUUUGUAUCCUAGUCCACGUUUACCGUCUAUUAUGAGUUGUUAAAACUCGUAUGUAAUGUAUCCUAUUAUAUAGACAUGAUUUUGUAGCCGUAGCUUUUUAUUACGUCAAUGUCUUUUUUCAUAUUUUCACUGUUGCAAUUUUAUUAUAAUUUACUUCAAAAUCAUGUAAUUUUUAAUAAUAGAAUCUGCAAUGUAGCAAAUGAACUUACAUUCGCAAUUAUUUCAGAUGGAUCUAAACAAACUAAACAAAGUUUCUGUUGUUAAGAAAGAAGACAAACCGAUUACAAAACUACAGCAACUGGAAGUUGACAAACCAUAUAAAAUAAUAAACAGUAAAAUCGUCAACACUGCAUUUGGCCAAUCGGUGCUUCUAGAAUUAGAGGAAAGUGUGGUGUUCCUACCGAAGCGGGUUACCGAGGACUACGCCCCCUAUAUAGAUCAGUUGAGGACAGAAAAGUACGCUGUCGUAUUCAGAGGCCUGGUGAGCACGUCGAGCAAGCUAAAUCCUGCAGCGUCAUUCGAAAUAAUUGAAAUUUAAAAAACUAUGUGGAAGAUGGAAAGUCUACAGAAUUUAUGCAUAAGCUCUAUUAUCGAAAACAUACAUGAAAUUUCAAAAUUUAUUAGUAAAUCGCCUUUACCAUGGGUAUUAACGGAGGAAAUAGUUCAAAAAUUUAGUAAAAUUAAAUGGAUGCAAAUUAAAACUAAUCCCGUUCCUUAUGAACAUUUUAAAGUUUGUGACUUUGAGAAUCAUGAUCUAGAAUUGAAUAUUUCACCUGAACUUCGUCAGGCAAUUAUAGAGUGUCAGGAUUUUGAAACUUUUGCACUUAAUGACUACUAUUGCUUAUGGUUUAGGUAUUAUCAAAUACCAAAAUAUAAUUUGCUACUCUGUCGACCAUGUUACAGGGUAUUUAAAAUAAUUUUCUCUGAAAAACAAAAAUGUCUAAAAGCUAAAUCUGAUAAUUUUCAUGUUAGUUGUUUAGCUUCAGACUUACAUUUGAUAUUUAGAAAAAAAUCAUCCUGGUGUCAAAAUGGUUUUUGUGAGGUACUCUUUGAACUAAAGGAUAGAUAUGAUUGUGAGGAGGACUUACACAGGAAUCGUAAUAAAAAAGUAAGAUUCUCAGAUAUUUAAGAUGCUAAUAAAAUUUAAACCUUUUGGUAAAGACGAUCUGUAUAUUUGUAUCAUUUUCGGUAAACAUAUUUUGUACGUUUAUACCUGUAAAAUGUAAAAAAACUUUCUUGUAAAGUAAUUACUUACCUUUUAGUUGUAUUGAUCAUAAUCACAAAACGUUACUUCGAUUAAACGAAUACGAUUUGCGAUUACGAUUAUCGAUUACUAAUAACGAAUAAAAGACUUUCUUGUAAAA
rnacentral:lncRNA from 1 species